rnacentral:rRNA from 1 species
AGAUUGAACGCUGGCGGCAUGCCUUACACAUGCAAGUCGAACGGCAGCACGGGAGCAAUCCUGGUGGCGAGUGGCGAACGGGUGAGUAAUAUAUCGGAACGUGCCCAGUUGUGGGGGAUAGCCCGGCGAAAGCCGGAUUAAUACCGCAUACGACCUACGGGUGAAAGCGGGGGAUCGCAAGACCUCGCGCAAUUGGAGCGGCCGAUAUCAGAUUAGCUAGUUGGUGGGGUAAAAGCUCACCAAGGCGACGAUCUGUAGCUGGUCUGAGAGGACGACCAGCCACACUGGACUGAGACGACGGCCCAGACUCCGUACGGGAGGCAGCGAGGUGGGGUAAUUUGGACAAGUGGGACGCAAGCCUGGACUCCAGCCAGUGCCGCGUGGUGGGAAGAACGGCCGUUAGGUUACGUUAAACC